rnacentral:rRNA from 1 species
UCUGGUUGAUUCUGCCAGUAGUCAUAUGCUUGUUUCAAGGACUAAGCCAUGCAUGCCUCAGAAUAACUCACUGCAGGAAUCUGCGCAUGGCUCAUUACAUCAGACGCAAUCUGCCGCAAACCUUUUGCGGUUUACCGCAUCAUUGGAUAACUCGCUGCGAAACGCCAAGCUAAUACAUGAGUCCAAAGGGUGUCUUCCAUUCACGCAGCCUUCACGGGUUGUAGCGAGGCACCUUGCGAAUGAAUGAAAUUAGAACCAAUGCCCUUCACGGGGCAGCAACACCAAGUAGUGUUGAAUCAAUUCAUUCCGUGCGAAAGCCGAAUUUUCGGCGUCUUUUGAUGAACAACUGCCCUAUCAGCCAAUGAUGGCCGUGUAGUGGACUGCCAUGGCGUUGACGGGAGCGGGGGAUUAGGGUUCGAUUCCGGAGAGGGAGCCUGAGAAACGGCUACCACUUCUACGGAGGGCAGCAGGCGCGCAAAUUGCCCAAUGCCGAGAAAUGUUGAGGCAGCGAAAAGAAAUAGGUCUUCUAGACGCCUUCCGGCGUUUGGAAGUUGCAAUGGGGGAUAUUUAAAGCCAUCCAAUAUCGAGUAACAAUUGGAGGACAAGUCUGGUGCCAGCACCCGCGGUAAUUCCAGCUCCAAGAGCGUAUAUUAACGCUGUUGCUGCUAAAGGGUUCGUAGUUGAAUUGAGGGGUUCAAAGUAGUUUGGUUAAGUCCCACUCGUUACCGAGUCGGUGACCGCCACUCUUGUUCCCCGUGAACAUUUUCGGAAACAUACAUCGCGGAAUCGUUUCCUCUCAAUCACGCAUGCAAUGUAUGCAGAGAGGCGUCCGUGUGUCUUACUGUGACUAAAAAAGCGCGACCAAAGCAGUCGAUCGACCUGAAUUUGAAAGCAUGGGAUAACAAAAGAUCAGCCUAUGGGCUACCGUUUCGGCUUUUGUUGGUUCUAAAGGUCUGUGGGAGAUUAUGGGCGCGCAUGACCAGCGGUUCGGGGUUUCGUCCCCACGCCUCCGUAGUUCAGUCUUCGGGCUGUUCGACGGCUUGCGUCGUCCAGGAAUGAAGGAGGGUUGUUCGGGGGAGAACGUACUUGGCGUGAGAGGUGAAAUUCUUAGACCGCUCAAAGACGAACUACAGCGAAGGCAUUCUCCAAGGAUACCUUCCUCAAUCAAGAACCAAAGUGUGGAGAUCGAAGAUGAUUAGAGACCAUUGUAGUCCACACCACAAACGAUGACCCCCACGAAUUGGGGAGUAUUUGGUAGUGAUGGGUCGGGUCCGCUCGCACUCAUCCUCCAAAAGAGAAAACAAUUUACGUGCACGCUCUGUUGCGCGGCUUCACGGCCGCGUGUUUCGGGAACACCCUCAGCACGUUCUCUUGUCUUUCACGCGAAAGCUCGAGGUUACAGUCUCAGGGGGGAGUACGUUCGCAAGAGUGAAACUUAAAGAAAUUGACGGAAUGGCACCACAAGACGUGGAGCGUGCGGUUUAAUUUGACCCAACACGGGGAACUUUACCAGAUCCGGACAGGGUUAGGAUUGACAGAUUGAGUGUUCUUUCUCGAUCCCUUGAAU